rnacentral:lncRNA from 1 species
GUUGGAUUCUGAAAUUGUACCAAUGUCUGUCUGUUAACUCCUCUACAUGAAUAUGCCUGUCUGGCAGGACAGUGAUGUAUUUAGAGAAUAGUCAAAUGAAUAGUUAUUCUGGAAAGGACAACUGUUGUCUUUGAAGGGUUGAUGUACACCUGAAAAUGUAUAAAUAAAGCAAAUAUAUUCAUGAAAUCUGCCUCCAUAGUUUAGCAGUGUUUAACAUUAGAACGGUUAUGAUGUUCACUAGGUUAUGAAUGCUCUUGGCUCAUUAAGGUGUUUUCAUCAAUACAAUUUACAUUUGCAAAGAAUGAUACAGUUGCAUAUUUAUAAUAGCGUUGGUGGUGUAAAGCAAAGUUGAUGGGUCCGUGUUUGUAGGUUAACAUGUUAGCACAGCAAGUACUGGCUAAUUACAGUGUUACAGACUACACAUAUAAUGCCAAAUAAAGCACCAAUACAGGCUACUGUUUAAAUAAUCAUAAUAAUAAAUAGUCAUAACUUUUAUAGUUCUACAGUCCCUUUUUGAGGCUUUCACAAUUGCAAAGACAAUUUCACAAUGGAGACUAUAGUGUAACCUAAUGGAAGAGGGGUGGUUAAAGCCCAAUGAGUUUAAAUUUGUUUGCAAGUCUAAUACAUGUUUGAAUGAAUUACACAUACUACAAACAGCUAUCAUACAAUAGUUGCAAGUAGCCUAUGUGCAACAAAACUACUAUAGGAGUGCUAAAUGGAUAACAAGAGUGAUUUUAGACAGAGACUGCUACAUUUUGGUCCAGGUCACAAGAUAUGAAAACUAAUUACAUUUCACACAUUGUCAUGUUGUAAUAUUUCAUAAUUUCUGUGAGGAUUUAGUGUUCCACAAAUUGAAAUGUGCACAGCAUACAAUAGUGUGUAAUUGACAAUUAGUUAUUUAUGCAAAAAAUAGACAAUAGAAUGAUAAUUCACCUUUGUCAUUCUCAUAACUUCCUCAACAUUUAAAUAAGGCAAGCAAGUGUAAGUAGCUAGGUAUUUCCUAAAUAUUUACCCACAAAGAGCCAUUUCUGCAGCUCCUGGCUGAUCUUCAGGUGAGGUACUACUUAUCCUACAUGUGCUGCCCACUACCCCUUCUGAAGGAUGGGUUGAUCAAGCCCAAGUGUGGCAGGUGGCUCGUCCACUGC